AGUGAACGCUGGCGGUAGGCCUAACACAUGCAAGUCGAACGGCAGCACAGUAAGAGCUUGCUCUUACGGGUGGCGAGUGGCGGACGGGUGAGGAAUACAUCGGAAUCUACUUUUUCGUGGGGGAUAACGUAGGGAAACUUACGCUAAUACCGCAUACGACCUACGGGUGAAAGCAGGGGAGCUUCGGACCUUGCGCGAUUGAAUGAGCCGAUGUCGGAGUAGCUAGUUGGCGGGGUAAAGGCCCACCAAGGCGACGAUCCGUAGCUGGUCUGAGAGGAUGAUCAGCCACACUGGAACUGAGACACGGUCCAGACUCCUACGGGAGGCAGCAGUGGGGAAUAUUGGACAAUGGGCGCAAGCCUGAUCCAGCCAUACCGCGUGGGUGAAGAAGGCCUUCGGGUUGUAAAGCCCUUUUGUUGGGAAAGAAAAGCAGCAGGUUAAUACCCCGCUGUUCUGACGGUACCCAAAGAAUAAGCACCGGCUAACUUCGUG
rnacentral:rRNA from 1 species